rnacentral:rRNA from 1 species
AUGGCCGCUACACAUAGCCAAGUUAUGUACAGCUACUGGAGGGUGCGAUUGGCUAUGUUGAUGUGCUUGUUUUUCCUAUAUGCAGAGAACUCAUCGGCACAUCAGAAGAGGAUGUUGUUAUCUGCAAUAGCAACGGUGAGCACAGAACCCACAUCAAACAUCAUACUCACCCUGCUUAUGUUUUAUGCUAACAAUUGGUACGCGUGCUUCACUAUAUGUUGGUGCCGUGCGGUCGCAACAAGGAGCCUCGCACCUGAGCCUCUCCUUCCGCCUUUCGCCCAAGAGGACCUAGAAUCUUUGGCAAGAAACCAAAAUCAGAUCACCAUCUCCACUACAUCAUUUGUGGAUCAGUCUUCUGCGACACCCGGGACAUGCUCUACAUCGAGGAGUACGAUGGCAAGCCGGCGAUGGCAUGACGAGCAGACGCUCGAGCAGGUGAGCGUCCACUCAGUGGGGGUGGUGGAGGGCGGUAACAGUAAUAAGAGUUGUCAUGCUAUCAGGUUAGUAUUAAAUCAGGGGAGGUACAUCAACAACAAGUUCAGCAACCAGUACAAGGCGAUGAACGGAGUAUACAAUAAGGUUACUGUUCUUACAGAUAGGAUCAGGCUGUUAGGAUCAAUAUUGAUGAAGUGCAGCAACAAAACAUGUUUAAGAUUCAUCUCUGCUGCUUUCCGUUUUACUCUUCUUUCGAAUGAAGAGAAUGAGCAGCCAGAGUGCAUCAUCCGCGGAACACCUGGUGGCAUCCGGUACUUUGGUGAGCUUGAAGACCACUGUUACUGGGGUAAUAAGUACUACGUGUGCACAAUCAACAAAACAUCUGCCAAGCCAGGCCAGCGCAUGUAUUUUCAGGUACAAUAUACUGAAGAGAACCUGUUGGACUACAUUGAUCCACACAAUGAUACACUCAUGGUCAGACUUGAAUAUCACAUUAUGCUAGGAACUGACAAAAGGGCCACUAUAACCACCAACUGGUCCGAGUUUCGUCGCCGUGCGAACAUUCGUGAAGGAGACAUCUACGCUUUUCGUUUCGAGGUCACUUCAAACCGCCGGCUGGUUCUCACUGUGCACCCCCUCUAG